UACGUAGGGACCAAGCGUUGUUCGGAUUUACUGGGCGUAAAGGGCGCGUAGGCGGCGUGUUAAGUCAGCUGUGAAAUCUUCGGGCUUAACUCGGAACGGGCAGCUGAUACUGAUAUGCUAGAGUGCAGAAGGGGCAAUCGGAAUUCUUGGUGUAGCGGUGAAAUGCGUAGAUAUCAAGAGGAACACCUGAGGUGAAGACGGGUUGCUGGGCUGACACUGACGCUGAGGCGCGAAAGCUAGGGUAGCAAACGGG
rnacentral:rRNA from 1 species